rnacentral:lncRNA from 1 species
GGGAAGGGCAGGAGCGAUGUUUCUCUGCCUGCUUUGACUCUUCCGGUGCUCCCCCAGCCCGGGGACAGCCGUGACCACUCGUCAGUGACUGUUCCAGCCAUUUUCAGCUUCACGUAAUCAUUAAGGAGAGUUCCAGUACAAUCUCUCAUAAUGGCUCUUUCAGGCGAACCAGUAGCCUGAAGGACAUCUCCAAAGAAGAGUUUGCGUGCAGGCGAUGGAGGCACACGGAGCCGGCAAGGGGCCGCGGGCGUCUGGCAGAGCAUCGGCAGCGUGCCCCUCACGGUGUCCUCUGGUCUCCCCGGUCCCCGUAGAACAGUCCUUUGUCUGCACGGCUGCAUCCUACCACACGGGCCAAGGGAACAGGCUGCAUCCGAAAGGACUCCAGGUCACACAUCGGUCUUACGAAUGAAGAUGGAGACGCACAGGUUGAAAUAUCCCACCUUCCCCGGCAGUGACUGAGCGCACGAGGCACGGAGGUUUGGGAG